AAAGUAGGAGAGGAACCCGUGAGAAGAGAAACGAGGGAUGGCUGACCAUGGGCAAAAUCGUGGGAAGAGAAGCCACCGUUUUAUUCCAACACUUGCUGAAGCUGGGAUGCAUCACCUGUUAUCCGCUGUGGUCCUCCUCAGGGACUACAGGUGUUCACUUCUCAUACGACAUGUUGCUCAAAGGAGGCCAGCUGGUCAGUGAUCAGGUAACCAUACUUUUCUCUCCCACCAUCAUUUUCCACCCUUUGUUUUUUCUUCCUACAAUGCUCACACACCAGAGCUGAAUACCACCUAUGAAUCGAAACUUUAAACGCUUAGAACCUGUUCUCAGUCUAUUUUGUGGCUCCAAAUAGAUAUUUUGUUAUUGUUCAGUAUGAGUUCCUCUAAGACUCUGCGUAUGUUUCUAAUAUCUUUCAUGUUUCUGCUGUGCUUUGUAGGUUUCCUUUAUGAGUCAUCUUUUAUCAAAGAAAUAAUUUUUGAACCACCUCACAUUCGUAUUUUGUUUCCCACUCUUUUCUUACAUUAAUGGGUGAAGCAGCUUCACUGGACAUCAGGUUGCUCUCUGAAUAUUUCUGAUUGUUCCUGAAUAUCCUUGGCAUUCCAUUGUACACUUACAAUGCCAGCUGACCUUCAUAUUUUGCAGCUGACCAGAGCUGUGUAUGUAUCUCUCUUUUCUCAGCAGCAGAGCUCGGUCCUACCAACAUGCCUGGCAUACACGCUAACCCCUCUGAGGUGAUUGACAACUCUGCCCUAGCAACCGCUUGGCACGUUGCCGGGCUGCCCAGGGUUGCCAGGGAAAGUGUUCCCAUAGCAACAUGUUUAACCACUUUAUUUGCCACCUUGAAAUGUAGCGAAGGUUUUGCAAAGAGGCAGAAAGGGAUUACUGCUGAAAUUUGCCAAGGAAGAAAAUGUGUGGAAAGGGGAUAGGAUUUUUAUGAUUCAUAU
ensembl:lncRNA